rnacentral:rRNA from 1 species
UACAGAGGGUGCGAGCGUUAAUCGGAAUUACUGGGCGUAAAGGGCUCGUAGGCGCCAACUAAGUCAGACGUGAAAUCCCUGGGCUCAACCCAGGAACUGCGUCCGAUACUGGUUGGCUUGAAUCCGGGAGAGGGAUGUGGAAUUCCAGGUGUAGCGGUGAAAUGCGUAGAUAUCUGGAGGAACACCGGUGGCGAAGGCGGCCUUCUGGACGGUGACUGACGCUGAGGCGCGAAAGCGUGGGGAGCAAACGGG